GCUGCUAGCUCAUGCUUCCGAUA
rnacentral:siRNA from 1 species